UAACAGUCCAAAUUCCAAAACAGCCAUCCCAGUUCCUAGAGGAAAGGACUCUCUCUCCCUCUCGUUUUAUUUAAUGAAAUGGCUUAACUUCCCGAUAGACUUACCUGGAGUCCGUGAUGAGUCGGAUGAGGGAGAACAAACUGAGGCUGAAUCCAAGGAAGACAGAGCAUCUUUCACCAACUACAAAUGAAAAGAUUCCUAAGUUAAUGCAAACACUACACUGUGCUGCCAAUAGAGUGCAGCCCGUCAAGCUCGUCAUUCCCACCCCAAUAUCUCAACUGUCUAAAAUCACAAAAAAAUCUUAGUCAUCAGCUCUGACUCCAAAAAAGGUGAUUUUGGUAUUUGCAGACCCUAAGCCUGCACAGUGACAAAGCGGGGAACAUGAUGCUCCCAACAUAGACUCGAGAGACCGCUCCAUUCCCAACAAGAGAGACACCAGAGAAGUCACACCAAGAUCACCCUCCAAUCCUGAACGUGACUCCAACCCAGCUCAAAUGGAGGAUUAUACCAUCAACCCUAGCUGGUCUUCUCAACAACGACUGAAAAGCGUUCCCUGCACGAUACCGACUAUAUAGAAGAGACCCUACGUGAUACCAACGCUCUCCGGGUCACAGGGAAUCCCUUCACCAUCUGUACUCUCCUAAAUGCUAUUCCAUAGGAUCCAGUGUAUUGCUACUGAGAACGUCGACAUUGAGACUACUCUCCAUCUGAUCAUGCCUGAUCGUUCCACUUACAUCUUAGAUGACAGAUCAGUCAUUGAUGAUAGAGAACGCUAUCUCCACCCUUGCUCUUGGGCUCCACAUCGAAACCAAUAUCCGGGGAGAUUGGACCAUCCAGACUCUCGGUCCUGAUCACACUCUCCUCAGCACUGCAGGUCUUGGUCUCAGUCAAGAGAUAAGAGAACUCAACCACCUAAGCAGCUGGACUUUGACCUCCUACCACCGGAUUCCUCGACUGAAGAAUCCGCCUCAGAGGAAGAUGCAGAAACAGCCCUGGACAUCGCAUGGGGUUCCACACCUUCAGAUCUAAUUGAAGAUCCAAAGCCUCUGCCUCCCUCGGAGUACCUGAAGCUCUUCACUGACCAAGUGGCCUAUAUGGCUACCUCUUUAGGUAUCCAGGUUAACGAACCUCCUAAAUCUCCUCCUGAUCCCAUUUUUGGGCCAACUGAUGCUGGAACUUUGCACUCUUUCUUCCUACCACUGAACUCUGCUUGAAUGGACAUUGUCAACGCUUGCUGGGCAUUUUUGCCACCUGCCUCUCAGAAGCUGGAAGGUUUUUUACAAGGUUCAAGCCAGGGACAAUCAGUUCCUUCUGUGCCAUCCUACUCCUCACUCCAUUAUAAUGGACUCUGCUCAGUCCUGUUCAAAGAACAGAAUCCAUUCAGCAGCAUCUGACACAGAAGGCAGAAAAGCAGAUGCCCUUGGGCCUGUCCCCUUUCCAAACAGCUCCUCCAUAUACGUCUCGCCAUGCCACUGACUGUUCAUUCAAUGCUUGCUGCAGCAACUCCUCGCUGGCACACGUGGAUGUGUUCAUCUACAUUGGCACCUGGAACAAGAAGAAGAGGAGAGAAUUUGACCUUUUGAUGGCCAGGCCCUUGUUGGAAAGGAGACAAAAUGGAAAGGAGACAAAAACUGAAAAAUAUGGCAAGACCUAUGACCUCCCAACAACCUGCCUACAAUUCCUCAAGGGGCAACAAAUCCUCUUCUUCUGCUGCUGCUAUAUCAUUUUGUCCUUCCAGCUACUCUCAAUCAACUAACCGUUCCUUUCGUCCUUCUAGGACCUCCCUAUUUCAGAAAAGACAGGUCUCCUUCGUAAAAUCACAACCUUCCAAAUCUCAACCACCAGUGCAUAGCAAGUGCUCGGGACUCAAGCAGCUGCAAAUAUUAUUCUUUGAAGCACUCCACACACAAAUCGGGCUUUGUCUCCCAAAUUCUAGCUUAUCUCGGUGUAUUUCUGGGUUUUUAAAAUGCUGCUUUUAAUGAGAUUUUCUCCAGAGCAAAUAGGGAGAGGCAUUGACGUAGAAUCAUUCACAUGAUAAGAGGGAUAUAAUCUUUUAGGAAUGCAGAUAGAGGCUUUAGAAAUCUCUCUCCCCACCCCGCCAUUGGCUAGAAGGAAAAUACGGAGGCACGCGAUGUGAACUUGCACCAAAAGAAAACCUGAGAGCAGAGGGGAGGGGCUGCUUCCCUCCUUGUCACGAGUGUGAUUCGAAGUGUCUUCACUCAACAUUGACCCUGAAGCAUGAAGCCAGGUAUCACCUCAUCCAGUGGAGGAGUUCCAUUUCGACCACAGCCAAUGAGUGUGAGCAGAUUUGCAUGGUGGACCAUUCCUCAGUUCCUGGGGGAUGUAAGAAAGAAGGAAGAUUCCAGACAGAUCUACACACCUGCCUCACCUUUCACCACCAUGCCCUGGUCCCUGUUUCUCCUCACGUUUCUCAGUUAUGCCUCAGGUGUCCAUUCCCAGGCAAGUGUGAAACAGCCUGCCUCCCAGUCUGCGUCCCUGGACCAAACAGCAAAACGAAAAGCAUGAAAAGCACGAAAAACUGUUCGAAAAGCAGUGGUGGUCGCUGAGUCAGCUUUUACUGAUGUCAACAGAGAUCUGGACAGGCCCCUCGCUUUGUGCACUGUAGUGGUUGCAGCAGAGGAGAAGGGAUCCCAGCUCGGUUCACUGGUUCUGCCUCUGGAGACAACGGCUAUUUAACCACCACCAAUAUCCAGGCUGAAGAUGAGGCUGAUUAUUACUGUGCUAUCUGGUAUAGCACAGUGGUAGAGCAGAAUGGGGAACUGAGAGAAAAACCUUCCCCUGUCUUCCCCUGAGCGGAGAAGAGAAUCAGAGCUUCCCUUG